UGAAUAGCACAGUGUGGCUGCACAUAUUUUAUCAGCUUGUACAGUAUGUGUACUUCCUUUGCAUUGCUGUGAACAUUAUGACAAGCAUCUUCAGUAACAAAACAUCGUGAAACUCGAGUCUUUAACUAAACAGAAUGACAUUGUGAUGAGAUCUGACACUGAUUGUAAUACAUCUCAGUGCAUCUGACCACUGUGAAGCCAUCAUAUACAAACAGCUAAAAGAGGAAGGAAAACCAAUACCACUUCCUUUUUCCCCCUCAAUGCAUGAAUAUGAGUACGACUACAGUACCGGAUGCCAACAUUUUCACUGGCUCACCUCUGAGGCUGAUUACUAACACGUUGGAGUCCGUUCAGAGCACCACACCCACCUUUGUUUUUGAGGGAAAAGCUGCUGACUGGAACAACACAGGCCGAACACUGUGCAGACAUGGAAGCUGUAGUUGCACUGUUGCUGGUGUUGCUUAGAGUCUCUCAUGGUUUCAAAACUUACUGUGAUGGCAGACAGGAUGGAGCUCAGUGUUAUGGACCUUUGGGAGGAACUGUGGACAUCCAGCUGAUAGACAGCACUUCAGAAAUGCCUAGAUACCAACUUUCAAAGAAUACAUUAAAAAUACUAGAUGUGAGAAAAAAUAAGGUUAUUUCUAAUACCAUAGGAGAUAGAUAUACCCUUUUUCUCAGCAAUGGAACAUUUAGGGUCAAUAACCUGAGCAGGAACGACAGUGGUAAAUAUACCCUUCAAACAUUUAAUUUAGAUGGAACAUCAUCAGGCGAGCAGACUUUGCAGUUGUUUAUUCAAGCUCCUGUGUCCUCUGUCCUGCUGGUCUCUGAGUGUCUGUCCCAGGGAGAGAGGAGGGUGUCCUGCUCCUCUGAGAGAGCGAACAAUCCUCAGUACAGCUGGACUCUGGAUGGACGCACACUGACAGAUGCUGAGCUCCUUUCUGGAAAUCAUGAGAGUAACAUCAUCACUCUGAAACAGCACGUCUCAGGAAAUCUGGUCUGCUCAGUCAGGAACAAUGUCAGUAAUGUCUUCAAAGAGGAGAGAAUAUCUACCUGUGGUUAUAUUUAUAUUAACUGUACUUCUGUCAAUGGGACACAGAUAUUAAGGUGGGUGUAUAAAGCUAAUAACACCCUGUGUACGCAACCAAAACAGACUUCUGUGGGUAAGAAAAAAGAAACUGCCAUCAGUGAUGAGCCAUGGUAUAUUAGAAAUUUGCCACUGAUAGGUGGUGUUCUCUCAGUUCUGGUAAUUUUCUUGGUUGUUGGUGUAGCAGUCAUAUGUGCUUGGAGGAAAAAACAAAACAGCAAACCUACAAAAAAGGAGGAAGAAGAUGACCAGGAGGUCUUUGGUGAUGUCAGGUUUGUCAAAAGGCCGGCAAACCAAGCUGAGAAAAAAGCGGAGGUGGAGUACGGCCAAGUCAAGUCUGCAAAGCGACCUCGGAAGCCUGAACCAGCAUUUACUGAUACUGUGUAUGCUAACGUCCAUAAAGUCAAGUAAUGAAGUGCUCAGUGGUUUUGGACAGACAGCUCCACUGAAAGUAGCUGGAGUGAGGAGCUGAUGUUAAGAAACCUAAAGGUCCUUCAUUUAAUUUAUUGGAUUAUUUUACUGUCACUGCACUUCUUUAUUAUAUCAGGUGAUCAACGCAUCUACUGUUAUGUGACCUCUGGAUUUAAUUACAAAACACUGAGUGUUUUCUGCAUCUGUACUCUGUGGAAGCCAUAACAGAACGAAGGUUAUGAUUGCUAUUUUUUAGUGUUUCUCUUUUAACUUGAACUUGACUAGUUCUUGGUAAAGGUUUGACCAAUGUGUAAAUGGAGACAUGAUAAGGAGAAGGCACUUUAACAUUUAUGAAAAUAUGACUGUAAAUAAAGAUUCUUUUGUACCACACAUGUUAUGUGAAAAAAACUGUAGCUUUUUAUAUAUAUUUGCUUUUGCACAGAUACACUAUAACAAUGUACUUGUAGAAUAUAUAUGGGAUAUGCCCCCGAGAGUGAGUACAUAGUAGAGGUGGAGAGGAAAGCAGAGGGAAAAGGCUGUAGUGACAGAUGUAGCUAUACCAAGUGAUAGAAACACCAGGAAGAAGGAGCAAGAUGGAGAAAUACUAAGGGCUGAGAGGGGAGCUAGAGAAGAUGUGGAGGGUUAGGCCAACAGUGGUCCCAGUGGAAAUCAAAACACUUGGGGCUGUGACUCCGAAAAUGGGC
ensembl:lncRNA